UCCCGGAGCUCGGGCACCUGAGGGCGGCUCCUGCAAACCGGCUCCUGCUGCGGGCUCUGCAGGAAGGGAGGCUGAGAUUGAGGGCAGGAGACUGAGGCUGGAGGGGUCCUGAGAUUGAGGGCAGGAGGCUGAGAUUGAGGGCAGGAGACUGAGGCUGGAGGGGUCCUGAGACUGAGGGCAGGAGGCUGAGACUGAGGGCAGGAGACUGAGGCUGGAGGGGUCCUGAGACUGAGGGCAGGAGGCUGAGACUGAGGGCAGGAGACUGAGGCUGGAGGGGUCCUGAGGCUGAGGGCAGGAGGCUGAGGCUGAGGGCAGGAGGUUGAGGCUGGAGGGGUCCUGAGGCUGAGGGCAGGAGACUGAGAUUGAGGGCAGGAGUCUGAGGCUGAGGGGUCCUGAGGCUGAGGGCAGGAGACUGAGAAUGAGGGCAGGAGGGAUCCUGAGGCCAUGGGCACAGGUCAAAGCCCUGGGAGGAGGCUGCAGGGUGGGCUGAGCACCAGCAGAGUGCAGGAGAUGGGCUCAGAACUAAGGGAAGGAGGUGGGAUGAUGCCGGGAUCUGCUCUCUGAAGGUUCCAGAGGCUGACAUGUCCGGCUGUGCCUGGUCAGAAACCACUGAAAUCCUCUCUCAGCAUCACAUCUCGUCUCCCCUGAACAUCUCCAGAACAGUGGGUAAAAGCUGCAGGUGCAGCUCUGCCUGGCCUGGUGGUCCAGGACGGUAUAUAAAACCACCCAUGAUUCAGACACCUUCCAGCAGGUUCUCGUGACUUCUCCUCGGUGAACAGAGUCUACAGCACGGCUAAACGAUGUCUUGUGAAAAAACCCUGUGCACGGAGCCGUGUGCUGCCGUAGGAAAUGUGAACCGCCCUGAGCCCUGUGCUGCUGCCCACAGUGAGCCCAGCGUCAUCGCCUGCCCCGACUCCCGCGUCAUCAUCUUCCCACCACCAGUGGUCGUCACUAUUCCAGGGCCCAUCCUCACCACCUACCCACAAGAGACCAUCGUGGGCUCCACAGAAUCAGCCGAGCUGGCCUCCGCCCUGGAGUCGGGUGUAGCCAUCGGCUCAUCACAGAAAGGUGCUGAGUGCGCACUGCCCUGCGCCGAGCCCUGUGCCACGAAGCUCGUGACAAAGUGCGAGGCCCCGUGUCCACCUCCGUGUCCACCUCCGUGUCCACCUCCGUGUGCACCUCCGUGUCCACCUCCGUGUGUGCCCCCAUGUCCUCCUCCAUGCGUGCCCCAAUGCGUGCCCCAGUGUGAGCCGCAGUGCGUGCCUCUGUGUGUGCCGGAGCGCUCCUACACUUAUUCCACCCAGUGGAAGCAUCCUUGCCAGAGGGGCUUCUGCAAGACGCUCUAAUCAGCCUACAGCAGAGAAUAAUCACAGGAACACAGCAAGCAAAGGAGUGAACGGAUACGGCGCGUCAUUUACAGGCAUGGCUUUCAUGGUUCUUCCUACUGCAGAGGGAAGUGACCCAGAAUCAGGACACUGCUUCUAAUUCCUGUAUACUGCUUUAGCUUAGAUUAAUGCUUUCUUUAUUCUUGUGGCUUUGCAUCUUACAUCUGUGCUUUUAACUUCCUCUACACAGUUUAACUGUGAUUUAAACAAACAAAAAAAGCACACCUAGAGAUUUGAAUGUCAUACUCAGCAAAAAUGAGGAAAAAGAACAUCUUGAUGAAAUGUGCCACACUAGAAUGGGUAACUGGUUCUAGCUUUUCUUGUUUCUAGAAAUAUACGCUUUCUAGACUGCAUAAUUCUUUCUGCAAAUGUUUACUCCACUCUGCAUUCACAUUAAAAGGCUGCUGCAUCAAACCAUUGGCCUUCUGAAUCUCCUUUUUCCUCUGCUUCUCAUUUGCAAUGCUCUCUUGGAGAUACUCUGUCUUAUAUAGAGGAACAGAAGCUGUCCUCAACAUUCUUCCCAGACCAGCCACAACUUGAUGCCCAGGGAAAACUAAGGGUUUGGUUCUGCUGUGAAAAUUGGAAUAUCUGCUGUACAUUCUAGGCUGCAGGCUGGAAACUAGUGAGCACAAGUACAAGUCAUAGGGAAAUGUGGGUCUGUGUUUUCUAAGGUAUAUGCCUUGAGAUUAUAGCAAAAUGUAUAUAUUUUUAAAAUAUUAUGU